GAUGAACGCUGGCGGCAUGCCUAACACAUGCAAGUCGAUCGGUAAGGCUCUUCGGAGUACACGAGAGGCGGACGGCUGAGUAACGCGUAGGAACACACCCUGCAGUGAGGGAUAAGACACCGAAAGGUGUUCUAAUACCGCAUACGGUCUUCGGAUUAAAGCAUUUAUGCGCUGAAGGAGUGGCCUGCGUCAUAUUAGAUAGUUGGUGAGGUAAUGGCUCACCAAGUCGAUGAUGUGUAGCUGGUCUGAGAGGAUGAUCAGCCAGACUGGAACUGAGACACGGUCCAGACUCCUACGGGAGGCAGCAGUGAGGAAUAUUUCACAAUGAGCGAAAGCUUGAUGGAGCAAUGCCGCGUGCGGGAUGAAGGCCCUCGGGUUGUAAACUGCUUUUAUAAGAGAAGAUUAUGACGGUAACUUAUGAAUAAGGGACGGCUAACUACGUG
rnacentral:rRNA from 1 species